UUUUAAAUUUAUUUUUAUUUUUAAGAAGAGAAUUCUGAUAAUACAAAAAGUACAAGUGGAUCCGUACAUAUAAACGAGUGGAUCUAUACAUGCGCUACCGAACAUCGAGUAUACAUUGAUCAUAUACAGAUGCCAUUUUCAAGACGUCUUCAAGCGAAAAUAUAAGGACGGUGAAGGAUGUAGAUGUAACAUUGUUGGAUCUUUGAAAAAAGGGAAUUUCAUCACCCAGGAUUUUGAUGUGAUAAAAUUUUAAAACGUGAUUUCCACUUUACUAGCUAUUGCUAACCUUUUUGAAGAGUUUAGCAUUUUAACCCUUGUUGAAUAUCUUGUGAAUUUCUAUGAUUCUCCUUAACUUUUUAAAGAAGAAAAGUAUCACGUAAAUUAAAGUGUGGUCUAAAAUCCGGGAAAAAAGGCCAUGAUAAUGCGUUGAAAGUGGACAUUAAUGCGUGGUUAGAACGAAGAAAGUUUCCAGGAAAAAAAAACCUGUAUCAAGUUAUUAAGUGGUAAAUUCUAUACUUCCACGGCAAUUUUAGAUAUAAUUGGGCUUGCAAAUCGUCUGUCUGUCUGUCUGCCUGACUGUCCUUCGUUAAUCUCGAGAAUGGAGUUAGAUAGAUGAAAAUCGAGACCAGAUAUGAGAAGCUUAAGAAGCCCAGAUUAACUAGGCCCACGUGUGAACUUCGUCUGGACCGGAAUUCAGAAGAAAACAAUUAAUUAACUGAAUAUUCGUCAAAUCUGUCAUAAAAGUGAAAUAAAAUGCCUGGGGUUCUCCACAUUCAAUGAGAUGCUCUUUAGUAAUUUCAGUUAUCAAGUUACUCAACUAUAGUUGUGUACAACAUUACAGACUAUUCGAGAAUAUCUGUUAUGGAACUGAUGGAAGAGAAGAUCUAGAAGAGAAAUAACGGAGAUGUGCAGGCCGCACACACAAAGUCGAGAGAAUUAUACUUUAACCUAAUUUAGAAUUCAAAACCAUUUGAGAAAUUACUCGAGCUGAAUGAUUCAACCUGUGAAACAAUCAGCAGAAGAGCGAAAGAACUAAACAUUUACACAGGUAUUGGAUUAGCUACUUCUGAAAGAAUUAGAAAAGCUUACUAAUUGUGGUCAUGUUGAUAUGCAGUUUCUGAACCGGGAGAUCCUCGACUUGAUUUACAGAUUUGAUUUGGACUUUUUCUCGCCUCUCGAUACGGCCGUACGGCUCUAUCUUCCUAAUAGAUAUCAGUCCUUGCUGGCAAAUGAUAAUAACUAUCGUGCAAAACUAGCCAAAACUAUUUCUCAAUCUUUAUAUAUUGCCAUAAAAUAGUUUCUCAUAAAUUUCUCUUUAACUUUUACAUAAGAAUAUCUUUUACUAUAUCCGCAUUUAUGACUUCAAUAUGACCUUUGAUGCUACUAAUACUUUAACAUUGAAUACAUAAUAAUUUUAAU